AUCUAGCUGACGAGCUCCAAAUAGGACGAAAUGCGCGUCCUCGGAU
rfam:Schistosoma rodhaini strain Burundi genome assembly, scaffold: SROB_scaffold0003661